rnacentral:rRNA from 1 species
AUUGAACGCUGGCGGCAUGCCUUACACAUGCAAGUCGAACGGUAACAGGUUAAGCUGACGAGUGGCGAACGGGUGAGUAAUAUAUCGGAACGUGCCCAGUCGUGGGGGAUAACGUAGCGAAAGCUACGCUAAUACCGCAUACGAUCUACGGAUGAAAGCGGGGGAUCGAAAGACCUCGCGCGAUUGGAGCGGCCGAUAUCAGAUUAGGUUGUUGGUGAGGUAAAAGCUCACCAAGCCUGCGAUCUGUAGCUGGUCUGAGAGGACGACCAGCCACACUGGAACUGAGACACGGUCCAGACUCUUACGGGAGGCAGCAGUGGGGAAUUUUGGACAAUGGACGCAAGUCUGAUCCAGCAAUGCCGCGUGCAGGACGAAGGCCUUCGGGUUGUAAACUGCUUUUGUACGGAACGAAACGGUGAGCUCUAAUACGGUUUGCUAAUGACGGUACCGUAAGAAUAAGCACCGGCUAACUACGUGCCAGCAGCCGCGGUAA